rnacentral:lncRNA from 1 species
ACAGCCUCAACUGUUUGGCACCUUCAAGUUAGCCUAUAACUUGAACACUCAAAGUACCCAGUACAAAUGCUUCUAUGAAAGCUGAAAGGUACAACUUUAAAUCACCUACUAAAAUUGAACUAGAAUAAAAGAAACACACAAUGGAAUUGGUUCUUCUAUCUUGUCCAAGUAGCUUCAAGAAUGCACAUCAAAUUUCACAUAAAUUGCUUACAAAAUUGCCUCGUCGUUUGCUCUCAAUUUAGUUUCACUUAUAUAUUUGUGCAAUACCUGUAAAAGAGAACAAUCACUAUUAUUUAAUGAGUUAGUAAUUAGAGUUUGAUUGAGACUCAAUUGCUUAUCUUCCAUCGAAGUGGAGUCCUUGAUCAGCACAAAUUCCAACCCUAUCCUUUAUCUGGAUCUGUG